UCGAUGCUAAUUGUUUUGGAUAGAUCAAAAAAGCGAUUAGAUAUUGAAAUCAUAGUAUUUCGUUGUUAUAAUUCAAAUUCUAGUUAUAAGACUGAGAAGAAUAACCUUUUUAUAUAAAAAGGAAACUUUUGGUCGUAUAUUCGGCCAUUGUGCGCGUUUCAAAUAUUAUGCAUAAUAUAGGGUAUAAUUAAGUUGAUCACUUAUUAUACUUGCAGAGGGGUAUGACUUAAUCUUUAUGGUUAUCUGAUACACCUGAGUAUAUCAAAGUAAAUGUGAGACCCCAAAAUUUAUGAAUAAAGAUUUAAAUUUCUCGAAAUAUUUUUUUU
rnacentral:lncRNA from 1 species